CCUACGGGCGGCAGCAGUGGGGAAUAUUGGGCAAUGGGCGCAAGCCUGACCCAGCAACGCCGCGUGAAGGAAGAAGGCUUUCGGGUUGUAAACUUCUUUUGUCAGGGACGAAGCAAGUGACGGUACCUGACGAAUAAGCAACGGCUAACUACGUGCCAGCAGCCGCGGUAAUACGUAGGUGGCAAGCGUUAUCCGGAUUUACUGGGUGUAAAGGGCGUGUAGGCGGGGUGGUAAGUCAGAUGUGAAAACUACGGGCUCAACCUGUGGCCUGCAUUUGAUACUGUUUAUCUAGAGUGCUGGUGCGGUAGGCGGAAUGUAGGGUGUAGCGGUGAAAUGCGUAGAGAU
rnacentral:rRNA from 1 species